CCCUUAGAUGUUCUGGGCCGCACGCGUGCUACACUGAGUGGGUCAGCGGGUCAGGUUGCGCGAAAGUGUUUCCUAAUCUUGAAAUCCGCUCGUGAUGGGGAUUGACGGUUGCAAUUUUCCGUCAUGAACGAGGAAUACCUUGUAAGCGCGGGUCAUCAUCCCGCGCUGAAUACGUCCCUGCCCUUUGUACACACCGCCCGUCGCUCCUACCGAUUGAGUGGUCCGGUGAGGCUUUGGGAUCUGAGCAAAAAGAGCGUUUCGCUCGUUUGGCUCGGAAAACUCAGUCGAACCUUAUCAUUUAGAGGAAGGAGAAGUCGUAACA
rnacentral:rRNA from 1 species